UUCUAUGGCAGUUGUGCGCGGGGCAUCCUCGGAUGCGCCGGGUUUGCGUCGGUUGUCCCGGUCUGUCAAUCCGCGUACAGCUGCCACCCUU
rnacentral:antisense_RNA from 1 species